rnacentral:rRNA from 1 species
AGUGAACGCUGGCGGUAGGCCUAACACAUGCAAGUCGAACGGCAGCACAGUAAGAGCUUGCUCUUACGGGUGGCGAGUGGCGGACGGGUGAGGAAUGCAUCGGAAUCUACUUUUUCGUGGGGGAUAACGUAGGGAAACUUACGCUAAUACCGCAUACGACCUACGGGUGAAAGCAGGGGAUCUUCGGACCUUGCGCGAUUGAAUGAGCCGAUGUCGGAUUAGCUAGUUGGCGGGGUAAAGGCCCACCAAGGCGACGAUCCGUAGCUGGUCUGAGAGGAUGAUCAGCCACACUGGAACUGAGACACGGUCCAGACUCCUACGGGAGGCAGCAGUGGGGAAUAUUGGACAAUGGGCGCAAGCCUGAUCCAGCCAUACCGCGUGGGUGAAGAAGGCCUUCGGGUUGUAAAGCCCUUUUGUCGGGAAAGAAAAGCAGCAGGUUAAUACCCCGCUGUUCUGACGGUACCCAAAGAAUAAGCACCGGCUAACUUCGUG